AGACAAGAGUAAGAUCCAGCCAAGCACCCUGGCUGACUCCACGCUGCAGAAAGACUCUUACUUGUACCACAGAUGAGCCUCAGAUUCAUGACAAUCUUCCUACCUCAUCCUCCUAGGUCAAGGGAUCAAAGGGCAGGAGCAAAGCAGAUGCAGUGGUCCUCAACCCCAAAGGAAUCUUCAACCAAAGAGAAACAAGAGUUGUCUGAGAUCCACUUGCUAGCUCUCUUGAAGUCAGCCUUCUCUCGCUGUGCCUCGCAGCCAUAAGGCCCCUCCUCUGGUAAUGGCCCUCUUCCUGGGACAACUGCCAAGUAAAUAUGUCAUUUCCCUAGAUCUCUUCUCAUCAUUCACUUUGGGGAGGCUGGCCACAAAUGAAGAUAAUAUUCAAAUUUGCCCUAUUAUUUCAAUCACCUUGUUUCCAACAAUCCAAAGCAUUUGACCUAGAAAAUAAGGGAUUUGGAAGCAAAAAUUGUCAAGGGAGAUGAGGAGAUGCCUUCAGUUCUUCCAGAACAGAGCCUCAGAACCUGUGAGCUGGAUCAUUGUACUUUACACUUAACCUCUGGCCCCUCUUCCUGGAGGGCCAUCUAUACCUGACCUUGCUCCCUGCCUGUGGCCAAGUACAUCAGCUUUAGCAGUCAAUCUCUCUUCCCCAGGCAGUAGAGACUUGUUCAGGAAAUCAGAAAUGACUCCAAUCAAGGCCUUGUCCAAAGCCAUCGAGGCGGGAUUGCUCAUCUGAUCGGAGUGAACCCGGAGCUGCAGAAUGCCACAUCUGCCCUCUGUGUGGGGACAGCCUGAGAAUGAAGUCAACAGAGCAGAAGGAAGCCAGAGGUGGCACUUGGCACCGGGGGCCAGCCAUGCCCGGCCCCUGUCUUGAGAGUUAAAUCCUUCCUUCAAGCUUGAACAAGGGGGAAUUGGGUUUCAUUCCUAGCAGACAAAGUGCCAACCAAAAUGAGGGUCCAUGGGCUCUCCAACUCAGUGCUCUGCCUGUGCGGUACUGUAGACACAUUCUAGGGUUGACAGGGACAUACAUGUCCCUUCAAACCUUGUCUGCCCCAGGGGCUAUGAGAGUGACUCAUACUUUCUUGCCUAUGAGUUUUAAAGAAAACAUAGAAGAUUGUGUUUUUAAUUUCUUUCUUUAAAAAAAAUGGAUUGCUAU